CUUAAAUGUCACUUUCCCAGAGGGGUCCUUCCUAACCACCCAAAUCAAAGGAGCUUUCUGCUCACUGUGUGAAGGCAAGCUGAGGAUGCCCUUUCUUUUCCAGAAACAGCCGCACUGGUUUGAUACUGCCGCAGGAUCAGCACCAAGAGUUUGUUCACUGUGUGUGGAGCACAGCAGGGAGUCUCCUGUGAGCUGCUGUAGCUAAACCAGCCUCUAGCCCGGGCUGCCCAGUUCUCCGUCUUCCCUCCGAGGCCUUGACAGACCCAGUGGGGCUUUUGAGAUGGAGAUUUCAGAAAGGAGGUGGAAAGAAGGAUGGUAAGAGGCUGAGGGCCGAGUAGGCUGUCAGAGCAGCUAGUGUUUGGGCAGGGGAACGAUGGGCCAUGCAGGUGUGAGGACCACGCGGAUGACAGGAAACGGAGCCAAUUCCAACAUGUCCUCCUUCCAUGGCAUUUGAGAAAUAAGGAAGGUCUCCUACUUCAGAGCCAGCAGGGGCACCUGAGGGUGAAGCUUCGCUCUCUCUCUCACGUGAGCAAUGGUUCAGCAUUGGCGGCAAGUCUAUGGAACACGCCUACCGUGAAUAAUGAGAAUCUAUUGUACUGGGAGGGGAUGGGAAAUCAGCAAAGGAUACAGAAAGCCCAAGUAGAGUGGUUCCCAGUGAGAAAAGACUCCAAAAGCAGAAACUGGUCCACUUGUCAGAUACAGCAGCGAAAGCCAAGUGGAAAUGGGCAGCCUGUCCUGUCUCCACCGCCACCCUGGAGGAGGCCCCAGCACCUCUGGCCUGGGCAGGUUUCUCCAAGCUGUUUGCUACCUCUAUAAAUAAAGUCUCCAGGCAGAGUGCACGUUCCUUCCCUGGAACGUAAUGAGAUGGUAAGGGCUCCCCUGUGGUAAAAAGGCGGGGAAAGGAAAAUAUCAAGUGUCAGAUGAUAGAGAGGAGAUGAUUGAAAAAGCAGAGUUCUGAGGCUUUUACACUUUCUACCUACAGAAACUCAUGACUUUCUCAGAGCUGGACAGAAGGGUGACAUUUUUCGGCAAGCGUGCUCUGGGUUACAGCAUAGACCUUUUUAGCCAGGAUUGCUGGAAGGGCAAACAUCGUUUGAUGAACUCCAGGUUGAAUAUGGCUGAAAGGAAAGGAUAUCAGAGUUCUCUCUGGUUUUAAGGUGAUUUGAUGCAAGGUGAACCCAGCUUCUCUUGCCCCUGGUUAGACUCCACGGUCGUGGCACACUUCCACCACCUGGUGACCACACACAUAAAUUGCAAGGCCUGCUUCUAGAAGCCAGGGAAAAAUCCUUUGGGUGAAUGGAGAAAACCAAUGAAAUGUUCUUACAGC
rnacentral:lncRNA from 1 species